rnacentral:rRNA from 1 species
AACGAACGCUGGCGGCAGGCUUAACACAUGCAAGUCGAACGCAUCGCAAGAUGAGUGGCAGACGGGUGAGUAACGCGUGGGAACAUACCCUUUUCUACGGAAUAGCUCUGGGAAACUGGAAUUAAUACCGUAUACGCCCUACGGGGGAAAGAUUUAUCGGGGAAGGAUUGGCCCGCGUUGGAUUAGCUAGUUGGUGGGGUAAAGGCCUACCAAGGCGACGAUCCAUAGCUGGUCUGAGAGGAUGAUCAGCCAUAUUGGGACUGAGACACGGCCCAAACUCCUACGGGAGGCAGCAGUGGGGAAUAUUGGACAAUGGGCGCAAGCCUGAUCCAGCCAUGCCGCGUGAGUGAUGAAGGCCUUAGGGUUGUAAAGCUCUUUCACCGAUGAAGAUAAUGACGGUAGUCGGAGAAGAAGCCCCGGCUAACUUCGUGCCAGCAGCCGCGGUAACAC